UUCACAGAAGAAGCACCGGCUAACUCCGUGCCAGCAGCCGCGGUAAUACGGAGGGUGCGAGCGUUAAUCGGAAUUACUGGGCGUAAAGCGUGCGUAGGCGGCUUGGUAAGCCGGUUGUGAAAGCCCCGGGCUCAACCUGGGAAUGGCAUCCGGAACUGUCAGGCUAGAGUGCAGGAGAGGAAGGUAGAAUUCCCGGUGUAGCGGUGAAAUGCGUAGAGAUCGGGAGGAAUACCAGUGGCGAAGGCGGCCUUCUGGACUGACACUGACGCUGAGGUACGAAAGCGUGGGUAGCAAACAGGAUUAGAUACCCUGGUAGUCCACGCCGUAAACGAUGUCGACUAGCCGUUGGGGUCCUCGAGACCUUUGUGGCGCAGUUAACGCACUAAGUCGACCGCCUGGGGAGUACGGCCGCAAGGUUAAAACUCAAAUGAAUUGACGGGGGCCCGCACAAGCGGUGGAGCAUGUGGUUUAAUUCGAUGCAACGCGAAGAACCUUACCUACCCUUGACAUCGUGCGAACCAACCAGAGAUGGAUGGGUGCCUUCGGGAGCGCACAGACAGGUGCUGCAUGGCUGUCGUCAGCUCGUGUUGUGAAAUGUUGGGUUAAGUCCCGUAACGAGCGCAACCCUUGUCCCUAUUUGCCAGCGAUUCGGUCGGGAACUCUAGGGAGACUGCCGGUGACAAACCGGAGGAAGGUGGGGACGACGUCAAGUCAUCAUGGCCCUUACGGGUAGGGCUACACACGUGCUACAAUGGCCGGUACAAUGGGUUGCAAAGCGGCGACGUGGAGCUAAUCUCAUAAAGCCGGUCUCAGUCCGGAUCGGAGUCUGCAACUCGACUCCGUGAAGUCGGAAUCGCUAGUAAUCGUGCAUCAGAAUGGCACGGUGAAUACGUUCCCGGGCCUUGUACACACCGCCCGUCACACCAUGGGAGUGGACUGCACCAGAAGUGGUUAGCCUAACUUCGGAGGGCGAUCAGCAUCGUUUUAACUUUUU
rnacentral:rRNA from 1 species